CCGUGGGAGCCGAAGUGACGCUCGGCUUCAGCAUCAGCAACCGCUCGUAGUAAGGAAAUUCGUACAGAGAGAGGCGAAGGAACAUGACCACUUUCUCCAAUAAGCCAGACUCCAAACCCCACCUUUCUUCUUUUCAAGAAACGACAUUAAGGAACCCAUCAGGGACCAUAGCAACUUUUAUUCACUGUUCAAAGGCUAACUCAACUAUCACCAUCCCAGUCUGUUCCUUGUUUAUAGUUCUGAUAUUAGUAUUCAAGGUUGGCAAUUGUUUAAACACCAGCAGUUUACCUUAUCACCAGGAUUUGAACUGAUACGACUACUUCUUUGAAUAAAACUCUAAUAUGGACAAAGCAGAUAGAGACACC
rnacentral:lncRNA from 1 species